CCCCAACAAAGCUCAAAUCAAACCUGAAAAUCCCAAUUUUCCAUUUUUGUUCCCUUUAACUUUCACCAUCAAAAAAGUUUCCCCUUAACUAUGUUUCUAUUAUUGGUUUAAAGGUCAGUUUUUUAUCACACUUUUUGGUCUUAUUUAUACAUAUAUGCGCUUGUUCUUCCUUAAUUUGAUAUGGGUAUUUGCUAAAAAGUUGUGAUUUUUGGUAUUUUCUAAAAAGUUGUGAUUUUUGGUAUUUGCUCAAAAAGUUG
rnacentral:lncRNA from 1 species